UGAGUGAGGAUCUCAAUAUGGGAGGAAGAGGUAGUAGAAAGAGGUUUUCCCCUUUGGGAAAGGUCUGUGUUACAGUGCAAUAAGGAAGAGAAAAGAUUUACAAUCAUCAGCAUCACUAUCCCCAACCCACCCCCCAAAAGCAACAGAUAAAUCUUAGAAAAUCGACAAGCACUCCUAGGCUGACACAGAGGAGUGAGAUAGAUAGUGAGGAGCCCUUUUGGGCCUCUGGCCUGUGGAGCUGUGAAGUCUCAGUUCCCUUCUCUGCCCAGCAUUUGCAGCACUGCCCCUGCCCCUGUCUACCUACCUCCUCACCUGGAGGUAUCGGGCUCCUCUAUGACACCCCAGCAGACAGGGUCUAAGAUACAUAUGCACCCUCUCAAGUCUCAAGCCUGUGUCUGCAUCUAUAUCCAGAAACAGGAACAAGAAUCAAGAACCAAGGUAGCCCCCAAUUUGACUUAAAGAACUCUCAAACCUCAGGUCAAUGUAUUGGGAGGGGGUACUCCCCCCCACAGGAAUGCCCUUGCCGUUUUUGUCAUUGUAUGUAUGUAUAAAUGAAUAUCCCCGACAAGAUAGAAUUCUCUGAACAUGAAGGGGGUGCAAAAAUAAUGAUCAGAGAUGAUAUCUCAUUUCUAGCCCCUGGGGAAAUUGUUGUUUUUAUUUCUUUUCAGAAGUUAAAGAGAGUAUGAACUUUAGGGAGUGCUGUAAUUUACUGGCGGGAAUGGGUACAAGACUCACGGCCCCAAGCAAUUGGUGGGGAACUAGAUCUCAAAGCAGAAAAUGAAAAGUCGAUCUGGGGUAAGAUUUUUAAAUAAGUGGGUCAGAGGGACCGAGAGGAGAUGAGGCGAUCAAUCUUAGCCUCCUGACAGCUCCCUCCGAUGGCAUCAAAGAAUUUGGCUCUUUGGGAAAGAAGAGGGAACAGCCGAAAUUCCCCAUCCCUUUAAAAGGCUUGGAGGUGGGGGGUAUUAGCAAAAGAGAAAGGUGAUUCUGGGAGAGCAGGGAAACAGAUGGGAAAUGGGGACAGAGGAAAGGCGCUGGGUUGGGUGGAAAGUUUUUCUGCAGAACUCCCACGGCUCCGGCCUCCCCUCCCCCUCCUUGCUCACUGCCGCUGAGCAAGAAGGAGAAGGCUGGUUAGCAGAGAAAUGGCAACUCGGCUGGGAGCUGGAACUAGAAACUUUCUGACAGUGUAACAGCCGCGUGGGUGGUGCUCUUAUCGGCUCCAGCGACGCGGCGGUGACAUUUCAUCUUUGACAGACCCUCUCUAUCCUCGCUCCAAUGUGAUAAAACUUUUAUGGAACCACGACUAAGAAAUGAAGUUUUCCCAAGGAUCGUGGAAACAGAGCGGCACAUUAGCCUGGGGACCAUUUUAUGUACGCUUGGAUCCAUAGCUUCUCCCACCGUCCUCCCCUUACCCUGGCAGGGGAAAUCAAGCAGGCCUCCUCUCCCUCCGCCCUGAAUUUUAUUUAGUGAUUUAAUUUCACUUUAGUUUUAAGGUUUGACCUGAGAAGUCUAGGCCUCAGAAUUUUUUUUUUUAAGAUUAAUCAUUUUCCUUUGUUUUCAUUUUAGACCCAAUGGUGGUUGGGCUUCGGGUCACGUGACGACUUCUUUGUAGCUCCGGAAGAGAACUGUGAAGUUUAGGAGAAUUGCCAGGAAAAAAAAAUAUCAAGAUUUGGGGGAAUUAACCACAUAGAAGGAAGGUGUGUUAACUUGGGCGCUUCUUGGAUUCUACCCUGAGGAGGAGGCGCAUGAUCUUGAUCUGCCGCUCGCUGAGGUUCAGCAGGUUGGCCAUCUCCACGCGGCGCGGCCGGCACAGGUAGCGGUUGAAGUGGAACUCCUUCUCCAGCUCCACCAGCUGCGCGCUCGUGUACGCCGUCCGCGCCCGCUU